CCCAUCAAGUGGAAGAAGUUAACUGCUUGCUGACCACAAGCACAUAGACCCCAGCCAGCUUGGAACCAGAAGGUUGAUGAUGUUGACUCCCCAGUUACCUCACCACCAACCAGUCAGAAGAAUGUUCAUGAGCUGAUUAUGUGCCCACAACCCCUCUCCUUUAUCUUGGAAGCCGUUGGGGAGUUUGGGUGUUUUGAGCACUAGCUGCCUGGACUCCUUGCUUGGUGCCUGCAAUAAACACUGCACUUUCACCAAGACCCACUGUGAGUAGAUCUUACUGCAUGUGGGUAAGCAGACCCAAGUUUGAUUUGGUAAUAGAAGAAGCAGUAGACUCCUGCUUUUAAUGAAAUACUUUAAAAUUAUCUUCUUUCUUCAUCAAGAAAUCUUUCUCAGCCCCUUCUGAGAUUCUUGCUUAUCCUUGGUGUAGUUUUCAACUGGGAAUAUCAGAUAAAAUAGAUGUACAGUCUACUUGGGAGUAUGCAAAGACAGAGGCUUCCUUUCUUUGUAUGAGGAGUUCCAGGCAUUGUGCGGAUGGCCAAACAGAACUGAAUAUCUGAAACAAUCGUUUUUAUUUUUAAUAUUUAUUUAUUUAUUUGGCUGCAUUGGGUUUUAGUUGCAGCACUAAAGAUAAGCAGGAUCGCUGAUCUUUAUGGCGGCAUGAGAACUCUUAGCUGCAGCAUGUUGUAUCUAGUUCCCCAACCAGAGAUCGAACACCAACCCCCUGCGCUGGGAGUGGAGUCUUAGCCACUGGACCACCAGGGAAGUCCUUGACUCAGUCAUUUUUAAACUUUGCUGUUGUUGUUUAGUUGCUCAGUCAUGUCCAACACUUUUGCGAACCCCUGGACUGUAGGCUUCCAGGCUCCCCUGUCCAUGGAGUUUCCCAGGCAAGAACACUGGAAUGGGUUGCCAUUUCCCUCCCCAGGGGAUCUUCCUGACCCAGGGAUCGAACCCACGUCUCCUGCAUUGGCAGGAAAAGGAAAGGCUUCAACUCUUCUCCGAAGGUUACGCCAGUUAGGUUGGAAAGCCUGCUAGCUGAUUUCUUUAAACUCCUCCUCAUUUUUAGGUUUACAUACUACUGGGGAAUCUUCUCUACCCAGGGAUCAAACUGGCAUCUCUUGCACUCAAGCAGGCGAAUCCUUGACUGCUGAGACACCUGGGAAGUGCAUCUAAAAGCAGCAAAGACUCACUAUGUUUGAGCCUCAUAACUGGAGGAUAAGGCGACCAAAAAGCAUGCUGCAAAAACAUUUUUACAUUCGCUACCGGGAUUCCCUCAUCCUCACCAGCCUGGGAUUCGUGACUUUGGCUCUGGGAAUUGCUAUCACAAUCGGAGCUUUUAACAACGUGGUUGUCCUCCUUGGGAUGACGCUUGAUUUUCUGGGUGUCCUUCUUGGUAUUUUGGGGGGUAUAAACAUGUACACCACCUACUCGUGCUUCCAGAGCUCCUUAGAAGCACGAGGGGCAGCUGAGAACAUUCACCUCAUGUGGUGUCAGGUUCUACAUCAAGAGCCUGAACUCUUGGCCAGCAUCUGCUUAUAACCUCAUAUUUAAUCUGAAUAUCUCUAGGACUCCAAUUUUGUUUUAUGCAGCAUUUUCAAACUUGAAAUAAAAUUCUGAAAGCUACUGUGAAAGAGAUUUUCAAUGUCCCUUUUUUUUUUUCUCUUAACUUGGCCACACCAACGCACUGGAUUUGCUAUAGAAGUUCAUGACUGUUGACUUCUGAUCUCUGGUGAAAGAAGGGAAUGUUGGAGUACAGGUGAUGACGCUGAACCUUGCCAUAUAGAAGAGAUACCUACACGGACUUCUCUUGUAGAAUCCAGUCUUUCCACUCAUCCACAGAGACUUGUGAAAUCUGUUUUGGGCCCCUGAAUCUCGGCCUCAAACUGCCCAGUUCUCCAGAGAUAGACCUGGAGUUUGUACUAUGAUCUGUUAGGCUCCAGCCUCAGUUCUCAUGUGGAUCCAAUGAUUUGGAAUGGAAAUAUAGUGCCAGUAACCCAUGUUCCUGUCUGAGCUACCAGGGAAGCUUAAGAGGUGGGUGCUAGUUGUAAAGAGCCCGCCUGCCAAUGCGGGAGACAUAGAAGACGUGGGUUCAAUCCCUGGGUGGGGAACAGCAACCCACUCCAGUACUCUUGCCUGGAGAAUCCCAUGGACAGAGAAGCCUGGUGGGCUACAGUCCAGGGGAUCACAAAGAGUUGGACAAGACCAAACCGACUUAGCAUACAACCCAUGUUCCCAGCAUAGCUGUCAGCCAACACCAAUUGUCUUAUUGACUUCUCUCCUUAGUGCUUCAUUCAUAGCUGACUUCAUUCACAGUAUGGCACAUGGGUCCCUGGUUCCCUGACCAGGGAUCGAACUUGCACUCCCUGCACUGGAACCUCAGAGACUUAAUCACCAAACCGCCAGGGAAGUCCCCCCUCUUCCUUUGAACUGGUAUUUCCUCCUAUUGAAACGCUCAUUCUUCAAAACUCGUGCCGUCUCGUGAUAGCACGCCUCCUCCGCCUGGGACUGUCCUCUUAAGGUCCGACACACCGUGUGGCACCUUAUUCCUCAUCCCCCAUCAGCCAUUGACAGCUUCUCCUGUCCUACUGUUUUGCUCUCAUGACUAUUAUUCUUGAGGACAGGGAUGGCCCAUCAGCACAAAAACUGCUUGGUUCUUGUUGGAAUUUAAAAAAAUAACUUUGAUUGCAGGGACUUCCCUGGUGGUCCAGUGGUUAAGAAUCCAUCCUACAGGGGGUGUGGAUUUGAUCGCUGGUUGGGGAACUAAGAUCUCACAUGCCUCUUGGCCAAAAAAACUAAAACAUAAACAACAGAAGCCAUGGUGUAAGAAACUCGAUAAAGACUUUACAAGGGACUUCCCUGGUGAUCCAGGGGUUAGGACUCCUUGCUCCCAAUGUGGGGGGCCUGGGUUUGAUCCCUGGUUAGGAAACUAGGUCCCAUAUGCCACAACCAAGACCCAACAAAGCCAAAUAAAUUACUAUUUUUUUCUAAAAAGACUUCAUAGAUGGUCCACAUUAAAAAAAAUUCUUUUUUUCAUUGUUUAACACAUUUUAUUGAAGUAUAGUUGAUUUAUAAUGUUAAUUUCUAUUCUACAGCAAAGUGACUCAGUUAUACACAUAUAUUCUUUCCCAUUAUAGUUAUCACAGGACUUUUUGAACUUUUUAUUUUAUAUUGGAGUAUAGCUGAUUAACAAAUGUUAUAAGUUUCAGGUGGACAGCAAAGGAAUUCAGCCAUACAUAUAUAUGUAUCCAUUCUCCCCCCAAUUCCCCUCCCAUCCAGGCUGUCACAUAACACUGGGCAGAGUUCCCUGUGCUACACAGUAGGACCUUGUUGGUUAUCCAUUUUAAAUAUAGCAGCAUGUACAUGUCAAUCCCAACUCCCUAUCUGUUCCACCCAUCUUCCCCCUUCCCUCCCCAGCAACCGUAAGUUCCUUCUCUGAGUCUGUGCCUGUUUUGUAAGUAAGUUCAUUUGUAUCAUUUCAUUUUAGAUUCCACACAUAAGCAGUGUCAUAAAAUAUUUCUCCUACUCUUUCUGACUUACUUCGGUCCAUAUGACAAUUUCUAAGCCCAUCUAUGUUGCUGCAAUUGACAUUAUUUCAUUUUUUUAAUAGCUGAGUAAUAUUCUGUUGUAUAUAUGUACCAUAUCUUCUUUACACUCCUAUGUCAAUGGCCAUUUAGGUUUCUUCUAUGUCUUGGUUAUUGUAAACAGCACUGCAAUGAACACUGGGGUGCAUGCAUCUGCAUCCUUUUGGAUCAUGUUUUUCUCCAGAUAUAUGCCCAGGAGUGGGAUUGCAGGAUCAUAUAGUAGCUCUAUUUUUAGUUUUUUAAGGAAUCUCCAUACUGUUCUCCAUAGUGUCAGCACUAAUUU
ensembl:lncRNA